UGAGGGAGGAAGAUCUGGAUGACCCGGAUUUAAUGGAAUGAGUGGUGAUCCAGGAUUUCCAGGUUUGCCAGGUGAUAAAGGGCCUUUUGGGAUGCCUGGAAUGCAAGGAAUGAGGGGCAAGAGAGGUAAGGACGGCCCACCAGGACCCUAGUAUGGUUUGAAUGGAGAACAAUGAGAAAAGGGGAGACAAGGCUAUGAUGGAUUACCAGGAGAAACAGGCAGAACUGGAGACCCUGGUUUUCAGGGGAUGAGGGGUGACCUUGGAGAUCCGGGUCCAGAAGGAGAUCCAGAUGGUGGGGGUCAAGGUUGUCCUGGACCCAGAGGUUGACCUGGUGACCCUGGCCCACAAGGUCUUCCAGGAUUCCCGGGAAAUGACGGUCCAGAUGGUCAAAUGGGACAUAUGGUC